AAACCAUUUCUCGAGGCACAGGAGGCUGGGUCCAGCUCAGAGACUGGAGUUCUCACAGGAGGAAGAGCUACAGAUCCCCCGACCCCUGGGUGUCCUAUCUCUUCCCUCUUCCUGGCGUGGGUGUGUGGGAACCUCGGCAAGAAUGGGGAGCUGUUGUUCUGUCUACUUACUAAGCUGCUGGGGGUCAGGGCCUUAACUUUGAACUAGCAUGAAUUCUGGCCCAGAGCAUCGCCCUGCCCCCCACCGCUCCUCAGCCGAGGGACACACAUUACAGGAUGUUAUUCAUCGGCCAACUAUUAGCUGAGGCCCCAGUGUAGCAGCUGAGAUUGGUCUCCAGGCAGAGCUAGGAUGGAGUCCAAACAGGGGAGGAGGCUCAGCUCUGAAGACCUGGGUGUGGCACAGAGUGAACCCAGGACUGUGAAUCAUAAGACUGGCUUCAUGAACGAUCUGUUCCAAGACCUUGAACUCUGAGAACGUUUCAUGCCGCAUUCAGAUCUUCAGGCAACUCUGUGUUUCCCUGCACUUGCAGCCAUGAAGGAAGGGUUGUUUUUAAUCUGUAAUUGUGGGGGAUGUUUGAGCACAGAGGCGGGCCCUUAAGUCCUGGUUCAGUGACUAGCAGCUUCAGUCUGUGGAGACUGCUUAGACCAGUUAUGUGCCUGUUCCAAGAUGGUGUAUUUCACAGUCCAUUUUGCACACAACUGCUAGCUAUCUGCUAUGUGCCUUCCACGCUGCCCAGGAAAUGUGUUUGCUCACCGUGGCGCCCAGGACUGCAAAAAGCUGUAGAGUGAAGGUAUUAGUAAUAAUGCUGCCCUAAAAGAAACCCCGUCUUGAAGGAGAGGCUUCACAGUCGUCAGCACCUCAGCUUCUCAACACGUGUGAUUAGAUGAUAACUCACCCACGGCUGAGCCCCCACUCCCCUCACAGGAAGUCUGAGUUGUACCUCCUUGGCUAAUAGCCAGCUCAUUCAUCCAGAAGAGUGAGCAGUGUCUGAGGGCAGACAUCUUCCUUGGGACUUUUCCUGCCACCCCCUCCCCUGCCACUCAUGACCAACAGUCAGGGUAUGACACAAAACCGUCUUUAGCCGGGAGUCACACUCUGGCGUGUGAUGACCCUCUUUAUCCAGGACACUUGAACUAACCAAGUCUGCUGCUGGCCUCAUACCCCUCCCCACCUGCUGUCUUAGCUGCCCUGGGUCUUCUGUGUCAACAGAAAAUGCAAGGCAAUAAGUUUUCAUCUUCCUGGUGCUCCAUGUUCAGUAUGUGGAAGCAGGGAAUUUCUAUAAUAAGGUAAGGACCUAGGUGGCUGGGUCUCCUUCUCUGCCCACAACAUCAUGGUCACCAUGGCAUAAAAAGGAAGCAACGUGGAGAGUCACACGGAUUCUCACCAUUUUUGCUCAUGUUUCAAUGACCCCAGCAAACCUGACAGCCAUGUCUGACUUCAGUGGGCACAGAAAAGUACCCUUCCAUGCACCAGAAGGGGACAGGGACUAGACUUUUCAAGGAUGGCUUUUAAAACCACCAGACUAUCGUUUAAUCAAUAAUGCAUUUGAACUUGGACUUGUGUGUCAAUCAUGCUGACCUUAGCUGACCUUCCCGACUCUGAGACUGGCUUGCUCCUUCCCUGUUAAUACACUCACAGUCACAGGGGGAAGAAACUCAGAGUGUGGAAGCCGACUGUUAUUUCCUGCCAGAGGAAGGAACUGCUCAUCCACUAGAGAGAUUAUAGUCACAUUGUUAAACAAGACUUCCAGAGAAUUCCCAAACAACUUCUUAAUCCAGUACGUUUCAUUUGACCACCCGGGUAAGUUUCCACAAACAUCCCUUAGAUCCAGAUGAUGGGCCAAAGACUCUGAGAUGUGCUGAGAUCACUCAUAGCCACACACAGUCCCUGCGUGAAAGAACUUCAGUGCAAACACACAGGCAGACAUAUGUAAAAACAUCCAUCCCCAGCAAAGCUUGCCUGUUGUGCAAUCUCAAUGCCACUGGUUGAAGACAUGGAAAGGGAGCUGGGGAAACCUAGCUUGCAUGUAUUGGAUGAGCUAAAGCCCAAGAGCAAAGCUGGCAAUCAGUCUACAUUUCACAAACUCCCAGCAGCCAUGGCUACCUUCACAAGACCUGCACAAGAUCAAGCCAAUCAACAUUCCAGCAUGGAUAGGCUGCUAGGAGAGGGAGACUCAGUUUUAUUUGAGCAUGUGAACCCCUGAAAGGUCAACCAUACUCCAGUGUAUACUUCCACACCCAUGCAUAUAUGGGCAGAAAAAAUUGGACCCAGUGGGUUUUAAAAUAAAAAAGAACAACACACAAAGUUGGGAAGGGGAUCCAGAUGUUCAUUGUGGACCCCAGCCCUUUAGAUCUGAAUAUAGAGUUCAAAGCUGUGGGAAACUAGAGAUCAAAGGCUUCAGAAGGAUUUAACACACAUGGUUAGUUAGAAGAUGAAGGGGCCAAUGUGGCUAGGAAGGUGGAUGUCUGAGGAGCUACAAAUAGGCCUUGGCUGGCAGUCAUCAAGGAAGUAGGACCUCAAUCCUGUGGCAAGAACAGAAAUGAUCUCCCCAGAGCCUCUAGGUGAGGAUCCUGUGUCCCAGUGUGGAGACUGACAGAGACACACUGUGCUGGACCUCUGACCUGCUGACAUGUGAGUUAGUUGUUGGGAGCCAUUGAGUUUGAGACAACUAAUAUUAUGAUGCCACAAAAAAUAUCAAAAACAAAAACAAACAACCCAAUACAAUGGAUAAGCAAUAUAAGCCUGCAAAUAUGAUCAUAUGAUCAUCUGUCUACAAUGACCAUAGCCAUUGCUCAGGAUUUAAACAGAAAAGGCAUUGGGGAUUGGGGUAGCAGUAUUUCAUUGCUGACUUCUUCUGACCUGCUACAGCACACAGAUACUAAUAAGUGGAUUGACCACUGCUUGAUUUUGUUAUUGAUUUAAGAUUAUGUUUUCACAUUUUUGUAUAUACACGUGUGCACAAUGUGUUUAUGGGUAAAUGCAGUGGCUUGCAUGCUGUGGUGUAUGUGUGGAAGUCAUAGGAAGACAACCUAGGUUGUCUGCCCAUCUGCACCUUGUUUGAUAGAGUGUCUCUCUUGCUCACCACUGCAUAUGCCAGGCCAGCUGGCUCAUGGGCUUCUAAAAGUUGUCCUGUCUCUAUUUUGGGUGCUGCUGUAGGUAGGGAGUUACAGAUGUACACUACUACAGCUGGCUUUAUGUGGGCUCAGGGGGUCCAAACUCAGGUCCACAUGUUGACAUAGAAAACUCUUCACCCCCCUGAGCCAUCUCCUCCUGGCCUCUGCUUUCAGAUUCUUUAGCAGUGGUUCUCGGUGUUCCCAAUGCUGUGACCCUUUAAUACAGUUCCUCGAAUAUCAAGUGCGGAGCAGGGCCAAGGUGAGCAAGCAGCCGGACGCCUACACUGCACAUUGUUAGAAUUCUAUGGGGCUAACAGCAGGCCAGCAGGACAUAGUAAGGCACAGUGCUAACUCCAUCCCAUCACACAGAAUGGAAGAGACACUUGGAUUUGUGUGUAUACAAGACAGAUGCAGAAAUGACCCCCAGCCCCGUCCCCUUGAGGGGACAUCUGCAAAGAAACGCUGUCGAGCAGCAGCACCGAAGCCUCAUCUCUCUGUGCACUCUUUCCUCAGACAUGCACUGGCACUGACACCCUGUCUUGACACUCAGGAAGGCCCUGGGAGCAGAUGCCAUAGAGGUUACCUGUCGCCCCCUACAGGAAGACAGGCGUGAGCAUAUAGACAGUACAUACUGGGGGCUGGUGCCUUUGCCUUGUUCUUGGUGAGCUACUAGUAGGUAGCUCAUGAAGAACACAGAUGAAGAACGUUCCUGAUCAGGCAGCUACAGAGCAGCAGAGUGGAAACCUAACCCACGGCCCUCCACUCCAGUCUUCCUCCUUGUUGGGCAGCCUCUUAUUAGGUUAAGGCUUCAUGUGUAUUCAGACAAGUUGUUUGAAAGUGUUCUGGAAACUCUGGGGAAACCAGCUACAAUCAACCACUAGCAAAAGGCUGCCAAGUCUUGUCUAAAGCAACAAUCAAGCUGAUUUGACAUCAUAUAUACAACAGGAGGCUGCUCAGGCUACAUCUGCCUUAGUGCAAGCAGGCUGAGAGAACAGAACACCAAAACACGGUGGCUUAAGCAAGAUGUUUAUUGUGUAUAGUUCUAGAGUCUGGAAGUCCAAGUGUGAGUGCUGCUACGCUGGUUUCUGGUGGUGUCUUCCUGACUUACAGACACUCACUGUGCCCCCUGUGGAGCAGGGAUGUUGUGUUGGUCUUCUUCUCUUUUAAUAAGAACAUUAACUCUGUCACAUAUCCAUCCCUCUCCAUGACCUAAUACUACCACCCAGGCUGGGAUUAAGUCUUCUCCACAUGAAUGGGAUGGAGUGUGUGAAUAUCCAACACACAGCACUGCCAUGUAUGUGCCCCUGUGUUGUAGGCAGACUUUGGGUCUGCUGGAGGAUAGAAUGUAUCGCCAUCACAUGUGGGGCCUUGUGCUGUAGGCAGACUUCAGAUCUGUUGGAGGAUAGAUUGUGUCACCAUCAUACAUGUGCCUCUGUCCUGUGGGCAGACUUCAGGUCUGCUGGAGGAUAGACUUUAUUAAGAUUGUGUUGUUGGAAAGGACCUUAGAUAUCUUACGUUAAUGGUUAGAAAUAUGACUCAAUGUUAGAGUGUUUGCCUAGCAGGCAUGAGGGACCAUGUAAACACACACACACUCACACAGAGCACAGAGCACAUUCUAGGUUUGUUUUUACUUUUUAGUGUGUGUGUGUGUGUGUGUGUGUGUGUGUGUGUGUGUGUGUUCAUGUACAUACAUACAUGUACAUCAUGGUACAUAUGAGUUUGGAGAACAACCUACAGGACUCAGUUCUCUCCCCCCACUGUUUGGGUUUCAGGAAUCAAACUUAGGUCAUCAGUCUCUGGCAGCAAAUGCCUCUACUCUCAGUUUCUCAUUCUUCCUUGAGGUGUUUCCAUUUAAUAAAAUCAUUACUCACAGGGUCAUGUGACAGUCAUUUCCCCAUACAUGCUUCAGGGGUCACAGAGUGGCAGACAGCCUAAACAGGCUGGCCAUGACACACAUUGCACAAGGCCACAUAACAUUCAGAGACGCAGUGCAAUUUAUCAAGGGACUUCGGCGGCUUGUUGGUCUUAUGCAAUUGAACACAUUGCUCAUUUGUAGAUAGCUGCAUUUCUCAACCCUGGAAUCUGGUAACACAUGAGAAUACAUCCCUGAACUAUUAGUUUGAGGACCUGCUUGCUAAAAGUUGAGCGCUAUGUCUCCCAGUGAGAAUUGUACCAACCUGUCUAGUGUGUUCAUUAUUUUUUCUGUCACUGGGACAAAUCCCUGCCAAGAAGUCAUUUGAGGAGGUGGGACUUAGGUUUGGGAGAGUACAGUCCUUCAAGGAAGGGAAGUUAUACUUACUGAAGCCAGUUGUGCUGACAGGAGUGUCUCCUAUCUAUGUAGGUGGGAACACGAGGCAGCUCUCUCGUAUCCGAGUGGCAGAACCAGAAGCAGAGACCUCAGGUGAACCCGUAAACUCUAAACCAUAAACUCCACCCUGAGUCAGCCUCUGUGUCCAUCAGUAUCUAUAUUGGUCCCCAAAGUUUCCCAACUUUACAAAACAAUGCCACCAGCUAGGGACCAAGUGUUCAGUCACAGGGACCUGUGAGGAACUUUCCAUAUUCAAACCAUAACAUCCAGUAACACCAAAACAUCAGAAACAGGGCAGCAUCUGAAGCCUUUGGGCAAUAUUUGGAUUUCCGGAUGAUGCUGGAUAUGCAUUAGUGACAGUCACAACACAGUCAGCCCACUGUGUUCACAACUUCUAAGUAACCAGACUCAACCUAGCAGAUUUUCAAAGAAUUGUCUCAAUGCUGAACACUCACAGACCAUUUUCUCAUCUCUGUACUGGCCAGUUUUGUGUGCCAACUUGACACAAGCUAGGGUCAUCAGAGAGGAAGGAGCCUCAGUUGAGGAAAUGCCUGGAUGAAAUUCAGCUGUAAGGCAUUUUCUCAAUUAGUGAUCAGUGGGGGAGGGACCAGCCCACGGCAGGUGGUACCAUUCCUGGGCUGCUGCUGGUCCUGGGUUCUAUAAGAAAGCAGGUUGGGCACGCAAGUCAAGGGAAGCAAGCCAGCAAGCAGCUACUCUUCCAUGGUCGCUGUGCAUCAGCUCCUGCCUCCAGGAUCCUGUCCUGUUUGAGUUCCUGUCCUGACUUCCUUCAGUGAUGAAUAGCAAUGUGGAAGUGGCCUGCAAGGCAUUCCUGGGUCAUCGUCAUAUUCUGUCCACAGAAGCCUCAUUGUGCUUGCCUGGCUGCUUCUGUGAGCCCAGUAGGGCUGUCUGUCAUAUGGUGCC
rnacentral:lncRNA from 1 species